UAUAUUAUCGAUUAAAGUAUUAUCGAUGAAAUUAACAAAAAUAUAUUAUGAAUAAAAUAUUAAGGCUGUUUAUUUACUCGUGAUUUUAUAAUGAUUUAUGCCAAAAAUAGGUACAGGCGUAAUUCAUGAACAAUUUUGAUGAUCGAGGUUUCAUUUUCAAACAUUCUCAUUUCAAUCAUUUUUUUUUCGAAAAUUUAUUUCUUUUUUUAAAAGUCGUUUAAAAAAUGGUGUUUCUUCAAGAAUAAUUUAUUCAUAAAAAUAAAACUUUUUCAAAAAUUCGAAAAAUCAUGUUCUUCCUCAUUCAUUUUUAAAAUGAGAUCUUGUUCAUCAAAAUCAUUCAAGAAUGACGUCUGGACUCGCUGUUGGUGUAAACAUUUGUGCGACAUUUUAAUAAAAAAAAAGUUUUGUAUAGUGGCGCCCAUUGAAUUUUGCGGCAAAAGAGAAGAAGCUGCUAUCCUCACUACUAAUUUCCAUAUGAACAGUAAAGUGGUAUAUGAUUUGUUUCCAGAAAGUAGACAAUUGCUUCCUUGUUGUUGCAUAAAUCAAUGUUCAGAUUUUCUAAUCUAUACCAAACGUAAAGAAAUGUAUUUCGUCAUGCUCAUAUGGAAAAUAAAUGAUUUACUUAUUCAAGUAUUUUAAUUAACAUUCGACUAAUGAUCCUAUGGUAAAAAUAACCAAAUACGUAUUCAGUUGUUCAUGUUAAUGUAUCUUAGGGAUGAUAUAUUAUUUUGGAAUAAUUUUAUAAUUAUUUAAAUGAUGUACAGUGUAUAUGAAGUUCUAGACUACAUUUAAUAUUAACGAAAACAAACGUACGAUUGACUUUGACAUUUAUCGAUCCAGUCUUCUUUCACAUUCCAACGAGGAAACAUCAAAGCACUCUCUUUCCAAACGUUUAAGACGAACAAUUAAUACUUUUGAUAAUUUUAUAAUUAUUUAAAUGACGUAUAAUGUACAUGGAGUAUGAUAAAUUAAUAUUUAAAAAAUAGUACAUUAGUUUGAACAUUACAUGAUUCGUAAUACGCGUUAAAGAUGAAAUAAUUUCAAUUUAAUGUUUUAAUAUAAAAAUUUCGACCAGCCGGUCAUUGUAAAUCUAUAAAAUCAAUGAAAAUAAAUACUCGACCAACUUUAAUAGUUA